rnacentral:tRNA from 1 species
AAUUAAUGAGCUUGAAUAAAAGCAUUUGUUUUGAAAACUUAAGAAAGAAAUCUAAUUUCUAUUAAUUU